UACGUAGGGGGCUAGCGUUGUCCGGAUUUAUUGGGCGUAAAGGGCGCGUAGGCGGCCACCGCAAGUCGACUGUGAAAUCUCCGGGCUUAACCCGGAAAGGUCAGCCGAUACUGCGGGGCUAGAGUGCAGAAGGGGCAACUGGAAUUCUCGGUGUAGCGGUGAAAUGCGUAGAUAUCGAGAGGAACACCUGCGGCGAAGGCGGGUUGCUGGGCUAACACUGACGCUCAUGCACGAAAGCGUGGGGAGCAAACAGG
rnacentral:rRNA from 1 species